GCUCUGUAAGGGUGGGGGCAGGUGGGGCAGGUGCGCCUGGCGCGUUAAGUGUGGCUGGGAGAGCUACUCUUUGUGUCCGGGCUGGCUUCUGGCUCCAGGCUCGAGUCCUAGCUACAGACCGCCCUUUCCGUGGGUAUCUCGCAGCUGGUUAGGUGCUGCUCUGGUACGGAGAUAGGCAUUUCUUUCUUUCUUUUUUAACCUUUAUUAUCUUUUGGAACAAAAGGCAUCGAUCUGCAUUGUUUUGGGAUCUCCCUGAUGUUAUUGCAGCCGGGAGAAUUGGAGGCUCCCUGGGACUUGGGGGGCGCCUUCGAGGUCCCACAGUGUCUCCCGAUUUUAACCAGGGAAUUACCAGAUGGAAGUUUAAUUUUUCCGCUCCUGGAGGUUAGAUUACUGAAAGUGAAGAUUCAUUCUGAAGUCUGCACUUGUCUUGCUGAAUUGCACUUGUGAAUGGUUAAGAUGUUACUGGUGGAGAUGCCGUUUUUACCAGGAUCGUGUCUUGAAGGUGACGAAGGACGAAGCCAGCAGAUGAGUAUGGAGUAACCAGCAAAGUUUAAUGAAAGAGUGAAAAAAGAAAGGAAAGCUCCCGCUUAUCGGGAGGGGGUCUAAGGGAGGACACCGUUAGGGCUACAGUGUCUAGGGUUUAUAAGCACGAAAAACGGAGUAAACCACACAAGUGGCUGGGAGUUGUUGCUAUGGCCGAGCUAGGAUCAAAGGGAAAAAAAACCUCCCUUUUUACUCAGGCUGAAUUUUCCCAGAUGCCCAGGAAGAGGCUUCUUGUCUCAUGAGAAGCCUUGACCGUGACUUUACCUUACCAGGGCCUUGGAGUACAUCUGCCUGUGUCUGACUAGCAACUGAAAACUGUAAUGCUGCUUUGUUGCUUCCUUUUCCCAGAUUUUUACCAAUACUGAUAUUAUUUUGCCAAUUUACAUAUGAAAAAGCCUCAUUGUUUUAUAUUAUCCUCAUCUGACUUUUAGUAUUGGUUAGUUUUUCUUAUGUGUGUACUGGUCAGUUAUAUUUCUUUUGCAGUUAAUUGCCCGUGUAUGCCUUAUUUUUAAUAAAUGGGUGGGCUUAAAAUACUUUACUUGUAAGACAUCUUUUUAGUAAUAAGUAUAUUAACUCCUACUUAAUGUUGCAGUUAUUUCCCGUUUGUUUUCUUCUGACAAAAAUAAACAUUUUUAAGUAUGAUGUACUUAAAUUCAUUAAUCAUUUCCUUUAUUUUUUUCUGUCUUUGGAGCAUUGAUUGGCAAGGCUUUCUCCAGGAUAAUUUGUAAAUGUAUUAUAUAAUCUUGUAAUAUUUUUUGUUUUAAAACCUGAUUGUGAAAUAUACAUGUAACAUCAUCCUCUUUCUCUUACUAUGAAUACCUUGUAUAAAAGGUAAAAAGCAUAAAACAAUGGUCAUAAUCUGACCACCCAGUUUAAGAAAUAAAACUUUGCCAGUGUAGUUGAAAACCAUUUGUGUACUUUUGCUGAUGCUAAGAAUCCAGAAUCUUUGUAGUAUUAACCCCUACCCUGAAAGUAUUAUCUGAUGAGAGAAAAAUGAAGAAAAGUACAGGUUAGUUCUGGAAUAGGAUUAUGACUUGGAUAAUAUUGAGUAAUAAAAAUGUGUUUGUACGACAUAAUAAAUUUCUAUUAGUGUUGGUGGACUACAUGACAAAACUUCUUAAUACCUCUGAACACACCUUAAUUUUAAAUGUCUAUUCUGAACAUUUAUUUUCUGACUCAGAAUAACCUGGAAGAAAAUUUUAAUUCAUUAUGGAGAAGAUUGUUUUGGUGGCAUUCAUGAUGAAAUGGAAGAACACAGAAAAUUUUCAAUAUUUGAGGAAAAAAAUAUUUGAUGUGAAUGACCUUAGAAGAAGUCAUUAUGAAUUUUGGCUAACUGUAUUACUUUAUAAAUGCUAUAGGAUGUGGUGAUGUUUCUCAAGUGUACUUUUGUGUAGAGGGUAAGUAACUAAAUAAAGUAAAAUGAGGAAGUAUUUAUUUAAGUACUGGAUGUUUGAUUUUCCCUCUCAGAAAAUUUUGGAAUAGUUAAGAUUAACAUCAUACUUCUUCAGUGUUUUCUUGGUUGGGGUAGAGAGUGGUGGUAACUAAUGUUCUGAUGUAUAAUAGUUCAUCUGUGAUAAGAGAUUGUAACAGUUGUGAAUAGGUCAGACAAUUUUAAAUUUUGACCUCAGAAGUAUUAUUUUACAUAAAAUGUAUUUUGACAAAAUAAAACUAUUUUUAAUGUUA